rnacentral:rRNA from 1 species
GACGAACGCUGGCGGCGUGCUUAACACAUGCAAGUCGUACGGUAAGGCCCUUUCGGGGGUACACGAGUGGCGAACGGGUGAGUAACACGUGAGUAACCUGCCCACAACUUUGGGAUAACGCUAGGAAACUGGUGCUAAUACUGGAUAUGUGCUCCUGCUGCAUGGUGGGGGUUGGAAAGCUCCGGCGGUUGUGGAUGGACUCGCGGCCUAUCAGCCUGUUGGUGGGGUAGUGGCCUACCAAGGCGGCCACGGGUAGCCGGCCUGAGUGGGUGACCGGCCACAUUGGGACUGAGAUUCGGCCCAGACUCCUACGGGGGGCAGCAGGGGGGAAUAAUGCACAAUGGGCGCGAGCCUGAUGCAGCAACGCCGCGUGCGGGAUGACGGCCUUCGGGUUGGAAACCGCUUUCAGCAGGGACGAAGCUUUUUGUGACGGUACCUGCAGAAGAAGCACCGGCUAACUACGUG